GGUUAAAAAAUACAUUUGUAUCCAGAGUAUUGCUUACAAAGUGUUUUUAAUAUAUGUUUCCUCUUUUUGUGUGUGCGUGUGUGUAUGUACAAGGUGAUAGUCAUGGUGCAGAUAGCCCUUUCCAGAAACGAGACAUUAACACAGUUGGAUGUAUUUAAACAGAAGGUAACAAAUAAAAGAAGAAAACAAACUAAAAUGGUGAUUAAAAACUCGAGAAGUAGAAGAGAAAGAACCACUUGGCAUCUCGGAGCCCCAGCCUGUGGUUGCUCUGUCUGUGAAUCCCUUUGCAAGGGCUCAAGGGUUGAGCGCGCAACGUCUUUGUGUCUCGGCUGAACCUCCUUAGGCUGGGGCUUGGAAGGCUUAGGGGCAGCGUGGCCCCAGUUUGCUCCCAGUGAACCCCAUCCAGCCCCGGCCUCAGUGAGAGCAUCACCCACCGCCCAGGGUCCGGCUCUAACCCACUGCCCGGGGCCAGUGCUGCACGGGGAAGGGUUGCUGCCGCUGGGUUUCCUUAGGGAAGGGUUGCUCCCACUGGGUUUCCUUAAGGAAGGGUUGCUCCCGCCGUGGUUUCCUUGGGAAGGUGGCUGGGCACUGGGAAGCAAAGCUUGUGUUCUUCCAGCCAGCACCACGAGCCCGAUCCUGUCCCAGGGAGCCAGUGGCGAGCGUUGCCCUUGGUUCGGUUUGCAGCAGGGUGCAGGGAGCCCAGGAUAAAACAGCUUCUUGUAGGAGGCCAGAGGAUUCCUGGUCCUUGCCACUGGGAGGGACUGGCUCCCAGUGCCAGCUCGGAGCUCCCUGGGAUGAGAGCGUGCUCGCAGGGCUGCUCUGCACAACAGGGUGGUGCUUGCCAUCCAUUGCAUGUGUUGGGAUGAUGGUCCCGCCAUCCGUCAUCCUCCUUUUGGAGCUAAGGGCUUGUGCAGGACCCAACUGCUGCUGCUUUGAGCAGCUUGUGCAGAGCUCCUGGCCAGCUUCAAGCCAUCCUAGAGAGGUGAAUGUCACCCUUCCUGCUCCCCCCCAAGCCAGCGAGGGCACCUCUUGGGCAAGACAACUAAUGGAAGGCCAUCCCGGAGCAAGUGUCCCCAUGUAGACCAGUGAGGCUUUGUGCUUGCAGAGGAAGCUCUUCAGCCUCAUCCCUGUGGGUUCUGCAGGACCUUGACCCAAGUCAGGAUGGGUUGAACAGCUCCAACCUCCCCAUGGGGAGCAUGGAGGGGUCCCACACCUUCACAUGAAGCCAGCCCAUGUCCCGCUCCCUUCCCAAAGCAACAGGAAGCUUUGGGGGACGCUUCUGCUCUGUUACCUUUCAAAGAAGCAUUUUGAAAAUCAGAUAUUUUUUUUUUUGUUUUAUUUUUUUAAGCAAAAA
rnacentral:lncRNA from 1 species